AGAGUUUGAUCCUGGCUCAGGAUGAACGCUGGCGGCGUGCCUAAUACAUGUAAGUCGAACGGACGAAUAGCAAUAUUUGUGAGUGGCGAACGGGUGAGUAACGCGUGGGUGACCUGCCCCGAAGCGGGGGAUAACAGCUCGAAAGGGCUGCUAAUACCCCAUGUGGCUGGAGAGCUUAGAGGCUCUCUUUCUAAAGGAGGGGUUGCGCGAGCGACCCAUUCACUUCGGGAGGGACCUGCGACCCAUCAGCUAGUUGGUAAGGUAACGGCCUACCAAGGCGACGACGGGUAGGGGGCCUGAGAGGGUGGCCCCCCACACUGGCACUGAAACACGGGCCAGACACCUACGGGUGGCAGCAGUAGGGAAUAUUGCACAAUGGGCGCAAGCCUGAUGCAGCAACGCCGCGUGCGCGAUGAAGGCCUUCGGGUCGUAAAGCGCUUUUCUGGAGGAGGAGCAAGGACCGUACUCCAGGAAUAAGUCUCGGCUAACUACGUGCCAGCAGCCGCGGUAAAACGUAGGAGACAAGCGUUAUCCGAAUUUACUGGGCGUAAAGCGCAUGCAGGUGGCUUGGCAAGUGGCAUGUGAAAUCUCCCGGCUCAACUGGGAGGGGCCGUGCCAAACUGCCGGGCUAGAGGACGGUAGAGGGAGGUGGAAUUCCCGGUGUAGUGGUGAAAUGCGUAGAUAUCGGGAGGAACACCUGUGGCGAAAGCGGCCUCCUGGACCGUACCUGACGCUCAGAUGCGAAAGCUAGGGGAGUGAACGGGAUUAGAAACCCCGGUAAUCCUAGCCGUAAACGAUGUGGACUGGGUGUCGGUGGGGUAAAAGCCAUCGGUGCCGAAGCUAACGCGCUAAGUCCACCGCCUGGGGACUACGGCCGCAAGGUUAAAACUCAAA
rnacentral:rRNA from 1 species